AAACCACUAUGUGCAGAUCUAACAAGGAAAAAAAGAGAAGAUGGGAUUUUUUUUGAAGAAGACCAAGGUUUGAGGAAGAAGAAAAGAGAAAAAAAACUGGGAGGAUUUUUCUAAAGAAGAAGACAAAGGCCAUUUUAAUGAGCCAUAUUUUGUUCAGUUAAUUUCUCAAGUUAUUGAACUGUAUGUUCAUUUAUGUUCAUGAAGUGCUUAAUAUUUCGCGGUGCUGCUUGAUGCAUGUGGUUGCAUGAUUAAGCUUCAGUAGCAUUGCAGAGAAGAAGGGAAGUGCUCACUAGAAGGCUCAUAUCGUUUAGGUUCCCUCCUCCCAGGUUCUCUCUCAAGAUCCCAUCUUUCUGCAUAGAUUCGGGAAAGAAGAUCACAACGGUGGCUUGCCCGAGUUUCACCUCUAAGCUUUGAACCCGAAACUGCAUUGAAGUUGGCUAGAUAUAUGUGCAUAGAAGAAGGAAAAUGAUCACUAGAAGGCUCAGAUUGUUCAGGUUCCCACCUCCCAGGUUCUUUCUCAAGAUCCCAUCUUACUGCAUAAACACGGGAAAGAAGAUCACAACGGUGGCUUGCCCAGUAGUAGAUUCUUGGCUCCUACUAAUUUACAUGUUGUACUACUAAAACUUCAAUUAUCCGGGUGUAGCAGAGUUUGGAAGCUCUCUUCGAGUGAGAAGAGACACCGAGGAAACAUUAAAUGUUAUAUGCUCCUUAUUAUUUACUAAAAUCAUUUCCUUACUGUUAUUUCACUAGAACUAUUUCUUUUUUAUUACCACAAUUGUUUAUUUGUCAUCUGAAAUUAGAUUCAGAAUAAUCUCAUUUUUUGCAUUAUGUGAACCACAUGGUUCUCAAUUUUCCAUGUUUUCCUAGAGGUGCUAAAGUCUAGGUGAUUUUUGGUUGGUGUAUUAGAACUGGAUAAGCAAGAAUUGUUAUUUUACAAAAAUGAGCAUCCAUUUUCUAAUUUCAAGAUCCAUACUGAAUGCAUGAAACAUCAAUUGACAUAGUGAACGUUUGUAGUUAUGGCCAUUGCUUAGGCUCAUAUCCCAAUAAAUUUAAAUCGUUAUUUAUUAACAUGCAUGAAACAUCAGUUGACAUAGUGAAUGUUCUUAUAGAUGUUCCGUGUGAAGGACCCAAAAGUGAGCCUCCACUUCAACUCGAGUGUGAUGGGAAUGUCGUCGUAGGGCACUGAGUGGCAGUGCACCAUGCCAUUGGUACAUCAACGAAGACUUGCCUGAAAUCAAUGAGCUUCAAGCAAGAUAGGUGCCUCCUGAUUAUUCAGGGAGUUAAUAUUAACUUUGUUACACUCUGUUUCGUAGAGUUAAUUGUCUGGUUGUCGCUGCUUUCUAAUCCAAAAAGGUGAUUAGUUGAAGAUAUAAAACUCCUUAGGCAUGUAAACAGAAAAUAGAAUUAGGAACUGUUGAUAUAUGCCCAUAGUUAAUAGUGUUCUCAUUUCCUAGAGUUGCACCUGCCUGAUAUAUGUCCGUUCUUUCGUCAGGGCUUGAUGUAUGUCCCGUUGCCUGUUGCCUAUCUCAGUUUGCAUGUUUAUCCUCUCUGCAAUCAGAUGCUCAUAUGAUCACAUUUGCUAUUGACAGUACCUACCAGUUCAGUUCACAUCAGUGUUUGAUACUGAAAACCACAGUGAGUUGUUUCUUUUCCUUUGUCUGAUGCUCUGAGUGUAUUCUCUCAAUUGUAAGAAUUACAAAUAUGGCUCCAGUGCACUCUCUUGUCUGGUCCUCACGAUCAUCUCACCUGGAUUCUCUACAUCAGAUUUUCCAUUGGUUGUUUUUGAGAGAUUGUCAAAAUACCAGAGCAAUGUUGUGCAAAGAAAGAAACUUCCAAUUCCAAGUGUGCAACAGCAAACCAUUGGAACAAUGGAAUAGGUGUCAGUUUGCAAAAGGCUGUGUUGGUCUUAUGCAUGCUCAGGAAUUGCUUUUAUCUUUUGAACUUGCAAAUGCAAAUGAGAAGGAAAAAUAAAACUGUUGGCCGUAAACACAGGCAUGCCCGAGAUUCGGCCGGCACAUGUAAAACAGAACCGUGCAUACUUUGCUAGAGACCAAAUCUGAAUUCACUGAAACUAAGCAUUUCCCUGGGUACUAUGCGUUAGAUGAAGAUGACUCAAUACAUCAGGACUGUGAGGACUACAACCUCGACUGUGAUGGGCUUCUGAUGUUCCAUUCUGGGUAGUGAUCUCGCUGAUCAUUGUGCCAAUCGUAUUUGAUGGUUAGCCUUAGACUAUAUGUAAAUAACGGAAUAACUCUGUUGUGAACCCAGAUAAGACCCCUCCCGGUGUUUGACAGCUGUUCUCUUAAUAACAAAUUUUUAAAGGUACUCAUAAUUGAUUUUCUUUAUUGGUUCAUAUGUUUGUUUUCAAAUGCACCAGACGUGUUACUUCUACCUUCGUACAUAUAAAUUUCAGUAUGCUCAUAAAUCCUCUGCCAUUAUUUUGGGUAACAAGAAGUCAUCUCAUAUCCAUUUCUUAUUUUCUAGAAUUGGUUUAAACAUUUUGUUCAGUAGAAUAUUUCAGGGGUUUUGGUGUACGAGCUGUGAUUACUUCAAAUCUUUGCACACUGGUUUUACUGUAGUGCCGAAGAGAAUGGCAGAUCAGGGAGGAUGCAUAUCGAUGUGCUGAGGACUGACGGUUGUGGGCUGGCGGUAGUGCAUCCAUAGGGAUCAGCGGACGUGUGUCACUGAUUUAGUGCAUAAGAUUCUUGAAAGUUUCUACCGUUUGUGGUAAAGUGUUCAUGUGGGAAGUCAGCUUACUGAUUAAUUUUCAACCGUUUCUGCAUGAGUGCUACGUUUCUGUACUAUGUUGCAAGUAGCAUUUCAUUAUCCUGAUUCAUAUACAAGGUUUUCCCUAUGCAUCCCUGAUUGAUAUUUAUUUGGAGGUUGAAGACCAGAUUCACAGAAGAACCAAACCCUUCAAGCAUUUGUUGAUAGAUAUACUGACCGCCGUUACUAUUUACCAUUUUGAACUACAAGUUCUUAACCUCAUUUUCUAUUAAGUUCAUUUUCUACUGGCUCUGUUAUUAGUGCAGCGCUGCCAUUUAUGGUUACUAUUGAUAUGUUGGUUUAUGGUUUAUUGAGAUCAGUGUUCUCUUAUCCAUCGGUGUUUGCAUCUAACUGGUUUUUAUGAGACUGCACCCAAAAUCUAAUACGUGUUGGUCUUUGAAUAGUCCCCCUUCAGGAAAGGAACUUUCUUAGAUGUAUGCUUGCAGUGAGUAUUUUCCAAACAUCGAAAGACGGGGCCGUGUGCCAAGGUGUUCUCCUAAAUCUUAUAGAGCCCACUAUCAUAGUAAAAGAGCACAAGGCGUAGUUCUUUUUCCUAUAUUUUGGUUGCACACUACCACUGAGUUCCUCAUACUUUUGCAUCUGUUUGUAUAUUCAUAUGUUUGUUGUUUGCUACAACUCCUGAAUUAAACAAUGGUUCUACCCAUGUAUCUGCCAACAAAAUUGCUCGCCAAUUUGGUACACUUGGUUUGCAGCUCCGUUUGUAGUUUCAUGUGAUUUAUCCAAAUUUUAUUCCAGCGAUAUCUUUUUCUGAAACCUAAGAAGUGUAUAAUCAUGUAUUAAUUUUUUUUUGCCGUUAUACAAAAUGUACAUUGGCACGAGCUCAACGGGGCGCCAAGGCGCACAAGUAAAUAAGGGACGAGUACCCGAACUGCAUUUUAGUCCUCACCUACAUUAUCUCCAUUUUAUCACAUACUAUAAACUUAAGUGCUUGUAUUUCAUUUUAAACUACUUGAUUUCAUGUGCAAAAUAUGGAAGUCUUUGAUUUUGGGUUGCGCACUGUAUUCAUCAGCUCAUGGCAAGAGUCUAUCUCUUUAAUGUUUAUGAACUAAGUCACUACUUGAAGAUUCCAAAGGUGAGAUUAUGUGCAUCAUCAAUGUAUAAUAAUUUCACUUUGUUUUUUAAUGAUUUCUUGGGUAAGAGUGCAGAUUCUUAAGACAUUAUAUUUAUGUCCUAUAUUUACAGAAGGCAAAAUCUUCAGUUGUUGACAAAGCUAGACUUGAGUGGCACCCUUGGAGUCUGGAGAUAUGCCACCAUCGGUGAUUCUUUCCAUUGAUAGGUGAGGACAGGAUCUUUUGCCUUAUCAGGUAUCUUAUAGAGUUAUUUGACAAUUGAUAUAUUUAUUUAGUUUAGUUACGAAAGGGAUUUCAGUGUGUGCUAGCAUUCUUCACGUGAAAACAUUUUUUUACAUAUAAUUAUGUAUACAACUUUUGUGGUAACUGAGAAGUGACACUAAUAUACCUUUAUCAUUGGCUGUGUUUUGUUGCUUGGUUGCAGUUUGGUCCUAGCAUGUUUCAAGUGCAGGUCUGCAUUUGUGGUUCAUUUUUUCACGUUAGUUCUGAUAUACUUGUGAUUAUCCUUCCUUAACCAUGAAAUAUUUGUUGCCUAUAAUUAUAGUCUGAAGUGUUGCACCUAUAGACUCUUUUAGUAGUAUGUGGUUUUUACCUGUACUGGAUUUAUAGUUUAUUGGAGCCUUGUAUGAUUUAAUACAAGUUUCUAAAACCUUGUUCGAUUUUUUUAUUUUACUUGUUUCAUCGUCUAUCCUUGAAGGAGCUCAAUGAUAUACACUGUAAUGAAAAAAGCCCUAAGUGACACUGACACAAAUAUAGACAUCCAUUACUAUAGCUAGAAAAGAGAGAUAAUGGAGACAAGUUAAUCGGUAAUUAGCAUACCUCUCUAAGUAGGUAUUACUUAAAUAAAUUAUGGCACCAACCUACUAUCAAGAUAUAGGUUAUCGGGAUCUGCAGUGCCCAUAUAAUAACUUUAGUGGCUAGAUCAGAAACCUAAUUCAAGCAAAUUGAAUAUGAAAAAGAAAUGCACCGGUCGUAAAAUUUUGUAAGUGAAAGCUUUGGAUAGGUAGGUGUCUUAUUAGCUUUGAUUGAAUUAAGUCCUUUCUUGCUAUUUUUAUUAAAAACAAUAAGAUGCCAUAAAAGUCAGUGACAAGCCAUCAUAAAAAUGUUAGCUCCAGGUUGUAGAGAUUCUGAUUUAGGAUAGCUAUUGUUUAUUAAUAGGAAAAACUAUUUCAUGAGUGUUGCAUUGUAUUGUAUCCUUUAGAAUUAUUUUUCAGUGAUGAUUAAUUAUGAGAAUCUAUAUAGUUCUAAUGCUGCUCUCUUUGCUAUAAAGAUAUGUUCUAUUUGGAUCAUUGAUUGAGAUCAGACAUAAAUCCAAUGCAUGUCUUUUUGCUAAGAGCAUGUACUCUCUAUGGAUCACUGAUGCCACCAUUUCUCUGUUAUGAAGUAUUGAUGUUGUCUAUGUUAAAUAAUGUCACGUGCAACCUUUUUUCUGCACUGCAGGAUUUUUGCUUGCCAUGUCAUAGCUACACCACAUGCGCCUGGGUUGUGCUACAGUAGUAUUGACAGAAAAAUUGCGCAAAGUUCAUGAAGAAUUUGCCAGUAUACUGUUGUGCAAAAAAAAUCACCUAACAUGGUUAAUUCUGUUGAUGCAGAACCUGAAACAUGAGCGGUUCAUUGCGUUUGUUGACAAGCUUGUCCUAAACCUCAGCAUCGAUGAAGUGAUUUAGGACAUGUUUCUUCCUUCUCUAGAGCAUGGGUUGCUGCUGAGAUAGUUUCACUUGGAAGUGAAAGGGGAAGUGUAUUUAACACUUUAGCACAUUAUUAUUGCCUUUUCUGGUCCAGUACAUGAGAACUUGUUUUCAGCUUCGUGUCCCUGUUGCUUGACGCAUUGCUAGAAGGGGAUGCGCGAGAGUAGUGGCUGGACAUUAUUUAGUUCUUGCACCUCUGAUAGUGAGAUUGAGAAAUUCAAGGCCUUUAUAUGCGUGCUCUUGUGGCUUUAUUAUUUACUGCUUACACCAACGUAUUUGUUUUGAGACAAUCUGAUGCACUUUUUUUUUGAAAACCUACUGAGUAGUUUUAGAUGGAAUGUUCUCUUGGAUUAUAAUUAAUUUUGUAGCUUCAGAUGGAAUGUUGUGUGCCUUUCAUUGAGUUGCCUUAUAAAUGUACUUAUUACAUAUGCAAUUCAAUCCACAAUGACAUU